GUCGAGCGGUAACAGAGAGAAGCUUGCUUCUCUGCUGACGAGCGGCGGACGGGUGAGUAAUACUUGGGAAUUUGCCUUUAGGCGGGGGACAACCACGGGAAACUGUGGCUAAUACCGCAUAAUGUCUACGGACCAAAGUGGGGGACCUUCGGGCCUCACACCUAAAGAUGAGCCCAAGCGGGAUUAGCUAGUUGGUGGGGUAAAGGCUCACCAAGGCGACGAUCCCUAGCUGUUCUGAGAGGAUGAUCAGCCACACUGGGACUGAGACACGGCCCAGACUCCUACGGGAGGCAGCAGUGGGGAAUAUUGCACAAUGGGGGAAACCCUGAUGCAGCCAUGCCGCGUGUGUGAAGAAGGCCUUCGGGUUGUAAAGCACUUUCCGCGACGAGGAAGGAGUGUGUGUUAAUAGCGCACAUUAUUGACGUUAGUCGCAANAAAAAAGCACCGGCNAAAUNCNUGCCACCGCCGCGGU
rnacentral:rRNA from 1 species